rnacentral:rRNA from 1 species
UACGAAGGGGGCUAGCGUUGUUCGGAAUUACUGGGCGUAAAGCGCGCGCAGGCGGUCUUCCAAGUCAGUGGUGAAAGCCCGGAGCUCAACUCCGGAACUGCCAUUGAAACUGUUAGACUAGAGGAUGAGAGAGGUGAGUGGAAUUCCCAGUGUAGAGGUGAAAUUCGUAGAUAUUGGGAAGAACACCGGUGGCGAAGGCGGCUCACUGGCUCAUUACUGACGCUCAGGCGCGAUAGCGUGGGGAUCAAACAGG